ACCUGCUCCAUUAACACGCCCGCUGUCUCUUUUCUUCUCCAUCGCGUCACCGCCACCGCACGCAGCUCGCGCCGUCUGGGUUUCUUCACCUUUCCCUUGGUGUUCGAAACGUAGACGAUGAGCGAUCCAAAGUACGCGUACCCCUACCCGGCGCAGGGCUACUACCAGGGGCCGUACCAGGGCCCUCCGGUGAUGGCGCCGCCGCAGUACGCCGCGCCGCCGCCGAGGCGGCAGCCCAGUUUCCUCGAGGGCUGGUAUGAAUUCGCUACUACCUGCAUGCUCGUGCCUGCGUUUUUUUUCUUCUCUCAACUGUCUGGUUGAUUAUGUGUGUUAAUUUUUUGUAGUUUGGCUGCGCUUUGCUGCUGCUGCUUGAUCGAUGAGUGCUGCUGCGACCCCUCGAUUAUAUUCGUCGGCUAAGGAAGGAUCAUGGAUCGAUCGAUCGACCUGGGGUUCUUCCUCGUCAAAGGAUGCAGAUUUAAGCUCCUCGAAUUGGUUCAUGCUGGUUCCUAGUACAUAUGCAUAUGCGUAUCUCUGAUUGAUAAUAAUAAUAACGAGUGCGUCACAUCCUUAAUUACUUCACCUGUGCUUGUAUUGUAUUAGAGAGUAUGCGAUUUGUUCACUUGUUGCUUGCCCGUCUGUACCUUGUUCUUGUUCGCUUGGAUUGAGUAGCAUUUUUUUUUUCCAAGGUAGCAAAGUGGUAAAGCAGAUGAUUGGGGUAAACAAGUCUUGAUUCGUGCUGUUUUUUUCCAACCAUUGCGUCGCGGCGGAUUAAGACCGGCGGAUUAAGACAUUCGUUUCUCCAGAAAUUUUAAGUACGAAUCAGGAUCGAAGCCUUAAAAAAAAG
rnacentral:lncRNA from 1 species